CGAGCGGCGGAUGGGUGAGUAACACGUGGGGAAACCUGCCCCUAAGUCUGGGAUACCAUUUGGAAACAGGUGCUAAUACCGGAUAAUAAAGCAGAUCGCAUGAUCAGCUUUUGAAAGGCGGCGUAAGCUGUCGCUAAGGGAUGGCCCCGCGGUGCAUUAGCUAGUUGGUAAGGUAACGGCUUACCAAGGCGACGAUGCAUAGCCGAGUUGAGAGACUGAUCGGCCACAUUGGGACUGAGACACGGCCCAAACUCCUACGGGAGGCAGCAGUAGGGAAUCUUCCACAAUGGACGCAAGUCUGAUGGAGCAACGCCGCGUGAGUGAAGAAGGUUUUCGGAUCGUAAAGCUCUGUUGUUGGUGAAGAAGGAUAGAGGUAGUAACUGGCCUUUAUUUGACGGUAAUCAACCAGAAAGUCACGGCUAACUACGUGCCAGCAGCCGCGGUAAUACGUAGGUGGCAAGCGUUGUCCGGAUUUAUUGGGCGUAAAGCGAGCGCAGGCGGAAAAAUAAGUCUAAUGUGAAAGCCCUCGGCUUAACCGAGGAACUGCAUCGGAAACUGUUUUUCUUGAGUGCAGAAGAGGAGAGUGGAACUCCAUGUGUAGCGGUGGAAUGCGUAGAUAUAUGGAAGAACACCAGUGGCGAAGGCGGCUCUCUGGUCUGCAACUGACGCUGAGGCUCGAAAGCAUGGGUAGCGAACAGGAUUAGGAUACCCUGGUAGUCCAUGCCGUAAACGAUGAGUGCUAAGUGUUGGGAGGUUUCCGCCUCUCAGUGCUGCAGCUAACGC
rnacentral:rRNA from 1 species